rnacentral:rRNA from 1 species
GAGAGUUUGAUCCUGGCUCAGAUUGAACGCUGGCGGCAGGCCUAACACAUGCAAGUCGAACGGUAACAGGAAGCAGCUUGCUGCUUUGCUGACGAGUGGCGGACGGGUGAGUAAUGUCUGGGAAACUGCCUGAUGGAGGGGGAUAACUACUGGAAACGGUAGCUAAUACCGCAUAACGUCGCAAGACCAAAGAGGGGGACCUUCGGGCCUCUUGCCAUCGGAUGUGCCCAGAUGGGAUUAGCUAGUAGGUGGGGUAACGGCUCACCUAGGCGACGAUCCCUAGCUGGUCUGAGAGGAUGACCAGCCACACUGGAACUGAGACACGGUCCAGACUCCUACGGGAGGCAGCAGUGGGGAAUAUUGCACAAUGGGCGCAAGCCUGAUGCAGCCAUGCCGCGUGUAUGAAGAAGGCCUUCGGGUUGUAAAGUACUUUCAGCGGGGAGGAAGGGAGUAAAGUUAAUACCUUUGCUCAUUGACGUUACCCGCAGAAG